AGUAAGAUCAGCUAAAUUUCAAAGCUUUUGGGCCCAUACCCCAAAAAUGUAGGCUAAUAAUCCUUCUCUUA
rnacentral:tRNA from 1 species